GAUGAACGCUGGCGGCGUGCCUAAUACAUGCAAGUCGAGCGAACAGACGAGGAGCUUGCUCCUCUGACGUUAGCGGCGGACGGGUGAGUAACACGUGGAUAACCUACCUAUAAGACUGGGAUAACUUCGGGAAACCGGAGCUAAUACCGGAUAAUAUAUUGAACCGCAUGGUUCAAUAGUGAAAGACGGUUUUGCUGUCACUUAUAGAUGGAUCCGCGCCGCAUUAGCUAGUUGGUAAGGUAACGGCUUACCAAGGCAACGAUGCGUAGCCGACCUGAGAGGGUGAUCGGCCACACUGGAAGUGAGACACGGUCCAGACUCCUACGGGAGGCAGCAGUAGGGAAUCUUCCGCAAUGGGCGAAAGCCUGACGGAGCAACGCCGCGUGAGUGAUGAAGGUCUUCGGAUCGUAAAACUCUGUUAUUAGGGAAGAACAAAUGUGUAAGUAACGAUGCACGUCUUGACGGUACCUAAUCAGAAAGCCACGGCUAACUACGUG
rnacentral:rRNA from 1 species